rnacentral:rRNA from 1 species
UACAGAGGUCUCAAGCGUUGUUCGGAUUCAUUGGGCGUAAAGGGUGCGUAGGCGGCGCGGUAAGUCGGGUGUGAAAUCUUGGAGCUUAACUCCGAAACUGCAUUCGAUACUGCCGUGCUUGAGGACUGGAGAGGAGACUGGAAUUUACGGUGUAGCGGUGAAAUGCGUAGAUAUUGUAAGGAAGACCAGUGGCGAAGGCGGGUCUCUGGACAGUUCCUGACGCUGAAGCACGAAGGCCAGGGGAGCAAACGGG